AAUCGCUUCUGGUGGAAAAAAGCUGAAACUUAUCAACGACUUUGAAACACCUACGUGAAGCACAAAUCAGGAUUACGCUCUUCAAUCGCGUCUCCACCUCAACAUCGCUACGACUUCACGACCAACAAUCACGGCGACGUGCUCUAUCUUCUCCGUUUCUCCUUGAAAGCUCGUAUCGCAUUCCGAGUUUCCGUUCGAUUUGAAGCAUCGACCUCGUCACGUUUCGGUAUGGUUUCGAAGGAAUCUCGCUUGUCAACUCAUGGAUUCGUCAAGAUCGCUCAGCCACCAAUCCGGUUUCGUCUAACAACCGCUAUAAAAGGGGGUCAGGACGUCGAUGCAAGGUCGAAACAUAUUAUAGAUUGAAUCAAGGAUAAAGGAAAAUUACCAGUUCAGCCUUCGAAUCCGAACCAGCUAGAGGAUGACGCUUUGAACUCCACCGCUACCAACUCACGUCGAACCGCAAGUGCGGGUGCACGAAGACAGGAACCAAAGCUACGUCGAGGUUGAAUAGAAAAAUUCGUCGGAAUGAAGCGCAGACUGCGUAUUGUCGUAUGGCAGAUUAUGGAGUGAAGUUCUUCAAAUUGCAGAAUAGAGAAGAAGGUCGCGGAAACCGAAUGAGUUGCAGGUUGAAGAGGUUUCGAAGCAGGGCAAGAAACUUGUGCAGAGUUGUGGAGGAACCGUGUAGCAUGAAGGUUGAAUGGUGUAGAAUGAAGAUUGGCCAAAGUGAUUGGAGAAGAUGGAAAUUGAAUAAGGUGAAGAAUGAUUCAAAACUCUGGAGAAGUUUCUGAUGGCACUACUAUAUAGGAUAGUUUACAACAGAAUCGGGCAACAGAAUCAGGCAGGUCAGUUAUAUUUGGGCAGGUUAGUUAUGGAUAUAUUAAGUUUCUGUUAGUCUGUUGGUUGGUCAUUUGUGAUUAUGAUUCUAUGUGUAUUCAAUGACGUCCGUUAUGGUGGAACUCAAAUCACGUUAUUGAUUGAAAUUACAGGAUUCUAAUUAAAUUUUCCUUUUCCAAAUCACAUUUGGUUGGUUAGUGAAAAAAAUUCAGUUAAGUUGUUAGUUAGUAAUGCGGUUUGACAGUUAGUUUUUUUUAUUCUAUUAGCUGUUAGAUGCUUAGGUUAGUUAGGUGAUGAAGAUGCAAGUGUUGUUAUCGCUAAUUUGCUACAGAAUUUGCAGGUCUGGUCGUCAUGUACAGGUUGGAUGAUCUGGACUGCAGAACCUGGUCUUGUAGCAGGUGAAACAAAUACUUGCUGAGAUGAAUUGAUGAAGGGUCUGAAGAAAAUUGUUGUGUUUAAUCUGCCAUGUGAAGGUAGUGCAUGAUCUACUUGGUUUGUUAGUUCGCUGUAAUUUGGCGAGAAAUCUUGCCGCUGCUCAUCUGAGGCAUUCUCCACUGACCUGCUGCUUGCCGACCGUGAAAUUUUAUAUGCUAUCGUGUCAAGUAUUGUAGGUUGUGGUAAUGAUUGAAAUUAGUUAAUGAGAUGUUAGGCAUUAAAUCUCUAUUAUGCUUUGGUUGGUUUAGUUAGUUCAUACUGUAAAGAAACUGUUAUGAAUUAAAUUAUGUGAGAUAUUGAAAUUAGAAAUUGAAUUGGAUAUGGAGUCUAUUAUGCAGUUAGUCA